UACGUAGGGGGCAAGCGUUGUCCGGAAUCAUUGGGCGUAAAGAGCGUGUAGGCGGUUCGGUAAGUCGGCUGUGAAAGUCCAGGGCUCAACCCUGGGAUGCCGGUCGAUACUGCCGGACUAGAGUUCGGAAGAGGCGAGUGGAAUUCCCGGUGUAGCGGUGAAAUGCGCAGAUAUCGGGAGGAACACCUAUGGCGAAGGCAGCUCGCUGGGACGUUACUGACG
rnacentral:rRNA from 1 species